UUUAGUUGGGCACUCUAAUGAGACUGCCGGUGACAAACCGGAGGAAGGUGGGGAUGACGUCAAGUCCUCAUGGCCCUUAUGGGUAGGGCUUCACACGUCAUACAAUGGCGCGUACAGAGGGUUGCCAACCCGCGAGGGGGAGCUAAUCCCAGAAAGCGCGUCGUAGUCCGGAUCGGAGUCUGCAACUCGACUCCGUGAAGUCGGAAUCGCUAGUAAUCGCGGAUCAGCAUGUCGCGGUGAAUACGUUCCCGGGCCUUGUACACACCGCCCGUCACACCAUGGGAGUGGGUUUCACCAGAAGCAGUUAGCCUAACCGCAAGGGGGGCGAUUGCCACGGUGAGAUUCAUGACUGGGGUGAAGUCGUAACAAGGUAACCGU
rnacentral:rRNA from 1 species